rnacentral:lncRNA from 1 species
CGGCAGGGGUGAGUUGCAGGGAUGGGCUGAGGUUAGAGAUUCCUCUUGAUGAAAAUCCCUUGCCCCACAAAUGGGCCUGUGUGGACAGAGAGGGCGAGUGAUAGGAAGAUGCGGUGAGGGCAGAGAGACGCCUUCCAGGGGAAGAAAUCAGAGAAUCCUGCCCAAGACCUGGAGCCCGCGAAGCCUCCCACCUCCUGGGGCACCAGUACUUUACACAGAUCUGACUCCUGUUCUCCCUCUCGCAUCAUGGAAAGGGGCUCUGUCCCCUCCCCAGAUGAGCGAAGCCCUGUUACUCAGACUCCCAUUGCACCAGGAGACACAGAAAAGUACAAAGAAGAAAACUAAAAAGGUGACCCAGAGAGAACCACUCUAAGAUGUGCACGGGAAUUCAGCUCAGCUCGCGUAUUUAAAUUGAGAUCCUACUGUUGUCUGUUUUUUCAUUUUUCACGAAAAUAAAACUUGACUCAAAGUUUCAUUUUAAAAUAC